AUACGGAGGAUCCGAGCGUUAUCCGGAUUUAUUGGGUUUAAAGGGAGCGUAGGUGGACAGUUAAGUCAGUUGUGAAAGUUUGCGGCUCAACCGUAAAAUUGCAGUUGAUACUGGCUGUCUUGAGUACAGUAGAGGGGGGCGGAAUUCGUGGUGUAGCGGUGAAAUGCUUAGAUAUCACGAAGAACUCCGAUUGCGAAGGCAGCUCACUGGACUGCAACCGACACUGAUGCUCGAAAGUGUGGGUAUCAAACAGGAUUAGAUACCCUGGUAGUCCACACAGUAAACGAUGAAUACUCGCUGUUUGCGAUAUACAGUAAGCGGCCAAUCGAAAGCAUUAAGUAUUCCACCUGGGGAGUACGCCGGCAACGGUGAAACUCAAAUGAAUUGACGGGG
rnacentral:rRNA from 1 species